rnacentral:rRNA from 1 species
UACGUAGGGGGCAAGCGUUGUCCGGAAUCAUUGGGCGUAAAGAGCGUGUAGGCGGCUCGAUAAGUCCGCUGUGAAAAGUCCAGGGCUCAACCCUGGAAGGCCGGUGGAAACUGUCGGGCUAGAGUCCGGAAGAGGCGAGUGGAAUUCCCGGUGUAGCGGUGAAAUGCGCAGAUAUCGGGAGGAACACCAAUGGCGAAGGCAGCUCGCUGGGACGGAACUGACGCUGAGGCGCGAAAGCGUGGGGAGCGAACAGG